rnacentral:rRNA from 1 species
CUAAGCCUACGGGGGGCAGCAGUGGGGAAUAUUGCACAAUGGGGGGAACCCUGAUGCAGCGACGCCGCGUGAGUGAAGAAGUAUUUCGGUAUGUAAAGCUCUAUCAGCAGGGAAGAUAAUGACGGUACCUGACUAAGAAGCUCCGGCUAACUACGUGCCAGCAGCCGCGGUAAUACGUAGGGGGCAAGCGUUAUCCGGAUUUACUGGGUGUAAAGGGUGCGUAGGUGGCAGGGCAAGUCAGAUGUGAAAGCCCGGGGCCCAACCCCGGUACUGCAUUUGACACUGUCCGGCUGGAGUGCAGGAGG